rnacentral:lncRNA from 1 species
GUCUCAGUAAGACACAUUAUUUUAUUUAUUUAAAUAAUAGAAAAAUGACACACACACACACACAUAUAUAUAUAAAAUUAAACUGGAAUACUAUUAAUAGUAAAACUCUCUUUUUGCUAUCAAGUUUUUAACCCUUGGAUGAAAAAUUAUAGGGUUAGGAUUAUAUUAGUCAGUUAGAGUUGAAUGGUCCCCCUAGGGUUGAGUGGUUCCCACUGGGUUAUAGUAUUUAAUCCAAUGGUUAGAAAUGAUGAAAAGAGUUGAUC